rnacentral:rRNA from 1 species
AGAGUUUGAUCCUGGCUCAGAUGAACGCUGGCGGCAGGCCUAACACAUGCAAGUCGAACGGUAACAGGAAGCAGCUUGCUGCUUUGCUGACGAGUGGCGGACGGGUGAGUAAUGUCUGGGAAACUGCCUGAUGGAGGGGGAUAACUACUGGAAACGGUAGCUAAUACCGCAUAACGUCGCAAGACCAAAGAGGGGGACCUUCGGGCCUCUUGCCAUCGGAUGUGCCCAGAUGGGAUUAGCUUGUUGGUGGGGUAACGGCUCACCAAGGCGACGAUCCCUAGCUGGUCUGAGAGGAUGACCAGCCACACUGGAACUGAGACACGGUCCAGACUCCUACGGGAGGCAGCAGUGGGGAAUAUUGCACAAUGGGCGCAAGCCUGAUGCAGCCAUGCCGCGUGUAUGAAGAAGGCCUUCGGGUUGUAAAGUACUUUCAGCGGGGAGGAAGGGAGUAAAGUUAAUACCUUUGCUCAUUGACGUUACCCGCAGAAGAAGCACCGGCUAACUCCGU